rnacentral:lncRNA from 1 species
CUUGCAACCUGGAUCUUUGUUUUCUCUCUUGCCUAAGCUGGAGUCUCUCUGCUCAGUUCUCAGACCCCCCUCGCGUGCGCGUCCGAUUCUUCCUCGAACCCGAACCGCUCAGUCAUGACCGAUGGUCCAAAAUUAAUCUCCUAGACCCACUCCUACUAUAUAUGGACAGCCCCUCAUCUAGUUUUGGCAACCCUAGACAACUUCCCUAGAAUUCCUCCCGCCGCCGCCACCUGGUCGCUCCCCUCGGGAUCCCCUCCCUCGAUCCCGCUACCUCCUAGCAAAAUUCCUCGAUCCAGAUCCACCAACCACCGAUCCAUCCAUCUGGGACCGCCGGAUAGAGAUCCGACGGCCACCAGGCGGCCCGCAGCCGAGCCUCUUACUCCCUCCUCGAUCCAGAUCGAGAGGAGCUCGCCCGAGCUGCACCUCCAGGACCCCGCGCCACGGAGGAGCCGCCUCGUCGCCGGAAACCAGCGCCCCUCCACCUCGUCUCGCGGCCUCCUCUGCUUCACUUCGAGAACCCCAGCGUGAGCCGCAGCCAUCUCCCUCGCGUCCUCCCUCCUCGCCGGCGUUCUGCUCGAGGACCAGCCCCGCGCACCCCUGUGCUCACGAGCAGCAAACCCCGAGGACGCCAGCCGCCUCCCGCAACCCUGCGUCGCCUCCUCCCUGUCUUGCCUCGCCGGUGACUGCUGCUACCUCCGGUGAGCCGCCCGACCUCGUUGCUCUCUCCUUCUCCCUGCCUCACCUCUCUCUUUCCCUUAAGGAAACGCAAUGGAUGGCCUCCCGUAGCUCCAACUCCGGCCACCUCGUCUCCGCGGUGACCUGACGCCUCGGGUUCCGUCCGACCGCCGGCGUCCCAUCCUCACCUCUGCUUCGAACUCACGCGUGUGCCUGCCUCCCUCGCCUCGCAAGCCUCGUCGCGGGUCAACCGCAUCGGCCGUCUUGGGCUCCCUCACGGAGCACCACCACCGCAUCUCCGGCCAGAUCCGUCGAGUCCCGGCCAUCUCCGCCGUUCUUGGUCCUCCCCGCCACCCAAGUCCCUCGCCGGAGAGCACCACGCCGCCGCUGACUCUGCUUCACCUGAACCGGGGGUCCUCUUUCUGCUUCGCCCCGCGCCAAGAUCCGCUUCCAUUGACUGCCUCCUCGCUCGAUCUGGUCGAGUCGUCAACCACCACACAGCAGGCCCAGCGGGUCUCCAGGCCCAACUCCCGCCCCAAGCCUGCCAGCCUCUGCAGGCCAAAGGCCUCAAGGGCCCGAUGUGAGCAGCUCCCGCAGCCCUCCAGUUUUGGCCCGAUAUGUUUUUUCCUGUUGCUGCGAAUUUAGCUAAUUUCCAGAGUUUAUGGUUUUUCAGAAAAGUCCUUCAUGUUCAUGCAUUAACAACUCUUGAACCGUGCAUCGGUUUUAAACAAAUUAUAUAUGUAAAAUGCUUAGAAUUUCAUCUAGUUUCUUAAUAUGACACUUUCAUCUAUAUUUAAAAUGUUUAAAUUGCCGUUUGUAUUUAAUUUGCAUAAAUGCCAUGUUAAAAUGUUUUAUUUCAUAACUAAAUAACUGUAGCUCCAUUUUAAAUAAACUUUAUAUGUAAAUGGGGUAGAAAAAUGCAUAGUUUAACAUGGUGACAUUACUUUGCAUGUUUAACAACUCUAAAAUAUGGUUUAGGUCAGAACAGUACCAACUCUAAAAUUUGCAUAUGGGGCUUUAUCGGACUUGUUGCUUGUUUUUUCGGCCUCAUUUAAACUUGCCUAAAUAGUUAGUUUACUUAUGCCUCACCUCUUGCCAUGUUAAUCAACAUUUAAUAUUUUUGGGUACAUAACCGAGAGAGAACUAAAUAAUCGAAUGCGGUGUUUCGUCGAUAUGCAUCUCGUUGCAUAUUGAGCUCCACUUAACUUGUAGUUUUGUUCCUGCACUUUGCCAUGCCAUGCCUCUUUAAACCGGACAUGCAUCAUCCUUGGUUGUGCAUCAUGCCAUGUUUAUGUGAUGGUUGUUUACUAUGUCGUUUGCUUCUUUCCGGUUGCGCUUCUCCUUGAUAGUUCCGGUUAAGUGACGAUUGUGAGGAUCCGUUCGACUAUGUCCGUUUGUCUUCUUCAUGGACUCGUUCUUCUUCCUUGCGGGAUCUCAGGCAAGAUGACCAUACCGUCGAAAUCACUUCUAUCUUUGCUUGCUAGUUGUUCGAUCUAUCGCUAUGUCGCGCUAUCCACCACUUGUUAUAUCAUGCCUCCCAUAUUGCCAUGUCAAGCCUCUAACACACCUUCCUAGCAAACCGUUGUUUGGCUAUGUUACCGCUUUUGCUCAGCCCCUCUUAUAGUGUUGUUAGUUGCAGGUGAAGUUGAAGAUUGCUCCAUGUUGGAACAUGUUUAUGUUGGGAUAUCACAAUAUCUCUUAUUUUAAUUAAUGCACCUAUUUACUUGGUAAAGGGUGGAAGGCUCGGCCUUAUGCCUGGUGUUUUGUUCCACUCUUGCCGCCUUACUUUCCGUCAUACCGGUGUUAUGUUGCUUGAUUUUGCGUUCCUUACGCGGUUGGGGAUUUAUGGGACCCCCUAGACAGUUCGCUUUGAAUAAAACUUGUCCAGCAAGGCCUAACCUCGGUUUUACCAUUUGCCUACCUACCACCUAUACCUUUCCCUUGAGUUCUGCAGACUCAAGGGUCAUCUUUAUUUUAAACCCCCCAGGCCAGUGCUCCUCUGAGUGUUGGUCCGAAUCGAGCCGCCUGCGGGGCCACCUCAGGGAAACUCGAGGGCUGGUUUUACUAGCCUGUCUCAUCCGGUGUCCCCUGAGAACGAGAUAUGUGCAACUCCUAUCGGGAUUUGUCGGCACAGUUGGGUGGUCUUGCUGGUCUGGUUUUACCAUUGUCGAAAAGUCUUGUAACCGGGAUUCCGAGCCUAAUCGGGUCUUUGUGGGAGAAGGAAUAUCCUUCGUUGACCGUGAGAGCUUGUGAUGGGCUAAGUUGGGACACCCCUGCAGGGUAUAAACUUUCGAAAGCCGUGCUCGCGGUUAUGUGGCAGAUGGGAAUUUGUUAAUGUCCGGUUGUAGAGAACUUAACACUUGACUUAAUUAAAAUGCAUCAACCGCGUGUGUAACCGUGAUGGUCUCUUUUCGGCGGAGUCCGGGAAGUGAACACAGUUUUUGGGUUAUGUUUGAUCAUAAACAGUUUCAGGAUCACUUUUUGAUCACUUCUAGUAUACCGACCGUUGCGUAGCUUCUCAUCUUACUCUUAUUUGCGUAUGUUAGCCACCAUAUUUGCUUACCGCUUGCUGCAGCUCCACCUCACUACGUUAUCCUACCCAUAAGCUUAAAUAGUCUUGAUAUCACGGGUGUGAGAUUGCUGAGUGCUCAUGACUCACAGAUACUACCAAAACAGUUGCAGGUGCCGAUGAUACCAGUGCAGGCGUCGCAACCGAGGUCAAGUGGGAGUUCGACGAGGACCUUGGUCGUUAUUAUGUUUCGUUUCCUGAUGAUCAGUAGUGGUGCCCAGUUGGGACGAUCGGGGAUCUAGCAUGUGGGGUUGUCUUCCUUUUCAUUUGUAAUCGUCCGUAAUCGGACUAUCUGUGUACUCUGAAUUAUGUAUGUUUAAUUAAUGUAUUGUGUGAAGUGGCGAUUGUAAGCUAACUCUUUAUCCCAUUCUUGUUCAUUACAUGAGAUUGUGUGAAGAUGACCCUUCUUGUGACAAAACCACCAUGUGGUUAUGCCUCUAAGUCG